rnacentral:rRNA from 1 species
UACGAAGGGGGCUAGCGUUGUUCGGAAUCACUGGGCGUAAAGCGCAUGUAGGCGGCUUUUUAAGUCAGGGGUGAAAUCCUGGAGCUCAACUCCAGAACUGCCUUUGAUACUGGGAAGCUUGAGUCCGGAAGAGGUGAGUGGAACUCCGAGUGUAGAGGUGAAAUUCGUAGAUAUUCGGAAGAACACCAGUGGCGAAGGCGGCUCACUGGCCCGGUACUGACGCUGAGGCACGAAAGCGUGGGGAGCAAACAGG